CCCUUAGAUGUUCUGGGCCGCAUGCGUGCUACACUGAGUGGAUCAGCGGGUCAGGUUGCGCGAAAGUGUUUCCUAAUCUUGAAAUCCGCUCGUGAUGGGGAUUGACGGUUGCAAUUUUCCGUCAUGAACGAGGAAUACCUUGUAAGCGCGGGUCAUCAUCCCGCGCUGAAUACGUCCCUGCCCUUUGUACACACCGCCCGUCGCUCCUACCGAUUGAGUGGUCCGGUGAGGCUUUGGGAUCUGAGCAAAGAGAGCGUUUCGCUCGUUUUGCCCGGAAAACUCAGUCGAACCUUAUCAUUUAGAGGAAGGAGAAGUCGUAACA
rnacentral:rRNA from 1 species